rnacentral:rRNA from 1 species
UACGAAGGGUGCUAGCGUUGUUCGGAAUCACUGGGCGUAAAGCGCGUGUAGGCGGCAGCGCAAGUCGGGCGUGAAAUCCCACGGCUCAACCGUGGAAGUGCACUCGAAACUGCGCAGCUAGAGUCCUGGAGAGGAAGGUGGAAUGCUUGGUGUAGAGGUGAAAUUCGUAGAUAUCAAGCGGAACACCGGUGGCGAAGGCGGCCUUCUGGACAGUGACUGACGCUGAGACGCGAAAGCGUGGGGAGCAAACAGG